AAUGACACUGUGGCUUCCAUUUCUUUUCUUUUUGGCAAUAUCCAGAGGUGUCCUCUCAGAGGUCCAGCUGGUGGAGUCCGGAGGAGAGGUCAAAAGGCCUGAAGAGUCCCUCCGCCUCUCUUGUCAAGCCUCCGGGUUCACUUUUGGUAGCUACGCCAUGCACUGGGUGAGACAGGCUCCUGGCAAGGGUCUCGAAUGGGUGGGAGCAAUAAGCAGUGAUGGAAGCUACCAGAUCUAUGCCAGCUCGGUGCAAGGACGCUUCACCAUCUCCUGGAGCAAGCCUUCCAUCAUGCUGUAUCUGCAAAUGAACAGGCUGAAAGCUGAAGACACAGCCGUGUAUUACUGUACGAGACACACAGUGAGAGAAAGCAGCUGGCCACGUGGGACACUCAUGUCAAUUCCCAAACACCACUGA